rnacentral:rRNA from 1 species
AUUGAACGCUGGCGGCAGGCCUAACACAUGCAAGUCGAGCGGAUGAAGGGAGCUUGCUCCUGGAUUCAGCGGCGGACGGGUGAGUAAUGCCUAGGAAUCUGCCUGGUAGUGGGGGACAACGUUUCGAAAGGAACGCUAAUACCGCAUACGUCCUACGGGAGAAAGCAGGGGACCUUCGGGCCUUGCGCUAUCAGAUGAGCCUAGGUCGGAUUAGCUCGUUGGUGAGGUAAUGGCUCACCAAGGCGACGAUCCGUAACUGGUCUGAGAGGAUGAUCAGUCACACUGGAACUGAGACACGGUCCAGACUCCUACGGGAGGCAGCAGUGGGGAAUAUUGGACAAUGGGCGAAAGCCUGAUCCAGCCAUACCGCGUGUGUGAAGAAGGUCUUCGGAUUGUAAAGCACUUUAAGUUGGGAGGAAGGGUUGUAGAUUAAUACUCUGCAAUUUUGACGUUACCGACAGAAUAAGCACCGGCUAACUCUGUGCCAGCAGCCGCCGUAAUAC